rnacentral:rRNA from 1 species
UACGUAGGGGGCAAGCGUUGUCCGGAAUCAUUGGGCGUAAAGCGCGUGUAGGCGGCCUUGUAAGUCCGUUCUGAAAGCCCGGGGCUCAACCCCGGGAGGCGGAUGGAUACUGCAAGGCUCGAGUACGGAAGAGGCGAGUGGAAUUCCCGGUGGAGCGGUGAAAUGCGUAGAGAUCGGGAAGAACGCCGGCGGCGAAAGCGACUCUCUGGUCGGAAUCUGACGCUGAGGUGCGAAAGCUAGGGGAGCAAACGGG